rnacentral:lncRNA from 10 species
GAGAAAACAAGUUCAUUUAUUUUCCUUUCUUAUCAAAAUAGAAUGGAAUGUAUUGUCAAUUAUUUACCUUAGUUUAUAGUUGGAUCAAUUUCACGUUAACAAAAGCUCGUUCAAAUUAAAUCCCUUGCUAUUUCAUGUCCUUCUUUUCAACUUUCCUUCUUUAAACAAAUAUUUAUUGAGUAUAUUUUGUGUCCCAAGUACCUGCUUAAGAACUGGAACAAGACUGGUUCCUGCCUUCCUGGAACUUACAGUUUAUGGAGACAUUUAAUUAAAAUAUUAUAGGAUUAAGAAUUUAAUCGUAAUUUUCUUUUCUUUUCUUUUCUUUUCUUGUUUUUUUGAGAUGGAGUCUCACUCUGUCGCCUAGGCUGGAGUGCAGUGGUGCGAUCUUGGCUAAUUGCAACCUUCACCUCCCGAAUUCAAGUGAUUCUCCUGCCUCAGCCUCCCAAGUAGCUGGGAUUACAGGCAUGUGACACCACGCCCGGCUAAUUUUUUUUUUUUUUUUGUAUUUUUAAUAGAGACGGGGUUUCGCCAUAUUUGCCAGGCUGGUCUGGAACUCCUGACCUUGUGAUCCGCCUGCCUCAGCCUCCCAAAGUGCUGGGAUUACCGGCGUGAGCCACCGUGCCCGGCCUAUUUAAUUGUAAUUUUCUGAAAUAUUAUAAGCAGAGUGAGUAGUGUGUGGAAGGGAACUUGGUGCACCCGAGGAACUGAAAGGUUAGUGUGCUGAAGAAAUGUCGUAUAUGAGGCUAUAGAAUGAGUCAAGAACAGAACAUGCUGGUCUUUGGGACAUGUUACGGAUUUUCACCUUUAUCCAAAGAGUAGUUGGAAACUAUUCAAUCAUUUCAGGCGAGAAAUGACAUGAUCAGACUUGUGUUUAAGAGAGAUCCCUAUGCAGUCCACGUAGGACAAGAGGGAACACGACAGAAUGUAGGGAUUUUUGUUUCGUUUUUAGGAAAUAUUGCCUAAAUCCAUUGAAGUAUAUUAAAGCUCUGAAAUAAGGAGAAAGUAGCGUACAACUUGGAGAAAUUUUUAGGUGGUACAUUUAAAAUAACUCAGUGUGUGGCUGGAUACAUGUGUACAAGGAAGAGGUAAUCAAGUUUCACAAGGGAAGAGUAGUUCUGAUGCAGAGAAGGAAUGUGAAUUCACUAAUAAGUGUACUACCUUUUCUCUGUAAUUUAAAACAAAACUGUUCUUUUUUUACUCCUCCUCUCCCUUGCUUACAUACAAGCACACCCAAAUGUACAUAAUCAUCCCAACAUUUCAAAGAAAUUCCAGGCAUAUUUCAGCCAUAUUUCAGACUAAACUGAUAUGGAAGAUGCAUCUAUAGAUAAAUUGAAACGCUGAUUAAAUUUAAAUAUAUAAGUGUAUAAAUAUAUAUAAAUAGAUGUAUGAAUAUGCUUUAUGUAUGUGUGUAUAUGCAUGUAUAUAUAGGUGUAUAUGUAUAUAUAUGCAUAUACAUAUGUAUAUAAAAUCCAAAGGCUGCAGUCAUAAGCAAAUAAAAAACUGCUGCUUACACAUAAUCACAAAUUUUAAAACAUAUAAGGAAACAAAUAACAAUAUUUGUUAUUUGUAAUACAACCAACAGGAGUAUUAACACCUACAAAGUACAGAUAAUAUAACAAUCUGAAAAAGACUACAAAAUAAACCUAAAGUGAUUAAAGAAGUAAAAGAAAGAUAGGCAGCGUAAUAACAUAAAACAGUAUGAAUAAAAGAUCAAGCAGAUUUUAAAUUAAAACUAAUUCUGAAAAUAUCAAAAGUAAGUGAAAAAUAUCUUCAGAAUACUAUUAAACAACAGAAAAAAAGAGAGAAUUGCUGGACCACCCUAAGAGAAAAUCAAAGGUUUAUCUUCUGAAGACACUUAACCAAAAAAGACCUGAACUCAGGAAUAGCUGAGUUUCAAAAUAAGAUGCCCAAUAGAAAGGUUCUACAGAUAAUGACUUUUAUUGGGAAGGGUAAUGAAAUCAAUUACCCGUUCUAUUGUGUAUCCAACAGUCAGAAACUCCUGACCAUGAACACGGAGUUUCUAACGAACUUUUCAGAAAUUAAGUUUUAAUCUUAAACUUACUAGAAAUAACUUCUACUUCCUUCCAUGUAAAAGUAUAUGGUGGCCAGGUGCAGUGGCUCAUGCCUGUAAUCCCAGCACUUUGGGAGGCCAAGGUGGGCAGAUCACGAGGUCAGGAGUUUGAGGCCAUCCUGGCUAACAUGGUGAAAACCCGUCUCUACUAAAUAUACAAAAAUUAGCCGGGCUUGGUGGCGAGUGCCUGUAAUCCCAGCUACUCGAGAGCCUAAGAUAGAAGAAUCACUUGAACCCGGGAGAUGGAGGUUGCAGUGAGCCGAGAUUGUGCCAUUGCACUUCAGCCUGGCAACAAAGCAAGACUCUGUCUCAAAAAAAAAAAAAAAAAAAAAGUAUAUAGUAAAGGACUUGCCUUCCCGCAUACACAGCUAGAAAACUAGGCAAAAUAUAUGAAACAACACACAGAGCAGAACUGUGAUCCUUGAGGGGUGGGGGGAAAAAAUAAAACCAAAAUAGCCCUAUGAUCAUCUCAGCAUCCCAUCUGGAGCUAAUUUUCAGACUACAGCAUAGGGAGGGAAAAGUAAAGCCAACACCUUCACUGAGAUGAAAAGAUAAGAGAUAAGAAUUUUAGGAAUUCAAAGUGGCAGGUAUUUUAAGGGCAGAGUACCAGGGAACCAUGCAGAAAAAGAGCUCCAGGCUGGGCAUGGUGGCUCAUGCCUGUAAUCCCAGCACUUUGGGAGGCCGAGAUGGGAGAAUCACCUGAGGUCAGGAGUUCAAGACCAGCCUGGCCAACACCGUGAAACCCCGUGUCUACUAAAAAUACAAAAAUUAGCCGUGUGUGGUGGUGCAUGCCUGUAAUCCCAGCUACUCUGGAGGCUGACACAGGAGAAUCGCUUGAACCUGGGAGGCGGAGGUUGCAGUGAGCCGAGAUCAUGCCACUGCACUCCAGCCUGGGUGGCAGAGCAAGACUCUGUGUCAAAAAAAAAAAAAAAAAAAAAAGCUCCAGAACUCUGCAGAAAGAUCCAUUCUAAUAUUUUUCAAUUUUAGACAUGUGUUAAGUAAAACUCUAUAAAACCAGUCAAAGUAUAAUAGCCAGAAAAUUAUAAGCUGAACAAUUUCCAGGUUUCAUACCAGGUUUGGAAAUACUAGAGUUCCUACCACCCAAAAAGGAAAAGAUGCUGUUAACUUCACAGGACAUUCAAUAGAGAUCUCACAAGAGGCAUGCCUUAGUACUAGCACUAAAUAGUCCUAAAGUAAAGGGUAGCAUAGACCCAUACUAACAAAGCCUGAAGACAAACCUCCAAAGAGUACAGCUGAUCCACAUUUAACUGAACUGUUUACCAAAACAAACUUUAAGAUCAUUAAAGGGAGAAAACAAGAUUCAGACACUCAACCACAUAAAAAUUAUAAUGUCCAUCAUCUAAACAAAAAUUGCUAGAUAUUCAAAGAAGAAGAAAUACUUGAUCUAUACCAGGAAGAAAAGCAAAAGGGCAAUAAAGAGAUCCUGAAAUGGCAGGGGCAACGGAAUUAGCAGAUAGAGACUCUAAAACAGUUAUUAUAAUUAUGUGCAAGGAUUUAAAGAAAAAUGGAGGGCUGGGCGUGGUAGCCCAUGCCUGUAAUCCCAACACUUUGGGAGGCCGAGGCAGGUGGAUCAUGAGGUCAAGAGAUCAAGACCAUCCUGGCCAACAUGGUGAAACCCUGUCUCUACUAAAAAUACAAAAAUUAGCUUGGCAUGGUGGCACACGCCUGUAGUCCCAGCUACUCAGGAGGCUGAGGUGGGAGAAUUGCUUGAACGCGGGAGGCAGAGGUUGUAGUGAGCUGAGAUUGCACCACUGCACUCCAGCCUGGCAACAGAGUGAGACUCCAUCUCAAAAAAAAAAAAAAAAAAAAGGAAAAUGGAAGAUAUUUUUACAACAAUAAAUGGAACUUCUUGUGUUGAAAAAUACAAUAACUGAAAUAAAAAAGUCAAAGGACUUAUAUAUCCAAAGAUAAGAAAUUGCAACAGAAAAAUUCAUUGAACUUCAACAUAUAGCAAUAGAAACUAUCCAAACCAAAGCACAAAGAGAAAAAAGACUGACAGGAAAUGAAUGGACUUUUAUGAAUUUUGAGACAAUAUCAGACAGUAUAACAUAUGUGUACUGGGAGUGGCAGAAAGAGGUAACAGAGAAAGAAAAAACUAUUUAAGAAAUAAUGGUUAGAAAUAUUCUUAACUUGAUUACAACUCUGAACCCACAGAUUUGAGAAGCUCAAUAAAGUACAAGUAGGCUACAAACAAAUAAACUGUCACAAUCAAAUUGCUGAAAACCUAUGAUAAAAGAAACAUUUUUUAAAAAAUAAAACACACACACAUUAUAUAUAGAAUUACAUACCUUGAAAACCCUAAAGACUGUCAAAAACUCCUGAAGCUGAUAAACAACUUCAGUAAAGUUUCAGGAUACACAAUCAAUAUACAAAAAUCAGUAGCAUUUCUAUACACCAAUAAUGUUCAAACUCAGAGGUGAGGGCGAUCUGGUUGUGACAUCUGUCACCCCAUUAAUCACCAGGGUUGAUUCAGCUGAUCUGGCUGGCUAGGCAGGUGUCCCCUUUCUCCCUCACAGCUCCAUGUGUGUUCCUCCCAAAGCUGUGCGGUUGGUCAAAGAGGAUGACCAUCCCUGACAGAGGAGGACUUGUUUUCACUCAAGGGUGUACCAAUGGCUGCACUCCCUGCUAGAACCUCCAAACAAGCUCUCAAAAUCCAUUUGUAGGAGAACAUAGGGUAGUAAAGCUUCCAAGACUCCAGACACAUCUGAAUGAGGCACUGCAUGUGGCAGUCAGCCUUUCUCUUUAAAAAAUAAUUAUAAUAAUAAUAAUGUUCAAAUUGAGAGCCAAGUCAAGAAUGCAAUCCCAUUUACAAUAGCAACAAAAACUAAAAAUAAAAUACCUAGGAAUCUAUCUAACCAAGGAGGUGAAAUAUCUUUACAAGGGGAAUUAUAAAACAUUGCUUAAAGAAAUCAUAGAUGACACAAACAAGGAUUAUGAAUUGGACUAAUCAAUAUGAUUAAAAUGAUCAUUAAAAUGGCCAUACUGUCCAAAGCAAUCUACAGAUUCAAUGCUAUCCCUAUCAAACUACCAAUGUCCUUUCUCACAGAACUAGGAAAAAACUCUUUUAAAAUUCAUAUGGAACCAAAAAAAGAGGCCGAAUGGCCAAAGCAACCCUAAGCAAAAAGAACAAAUCCAGAGGCAUCACAUUACCCAACUUCAAACUAUACAAUAAGGCUACAGUAACCAAAACAGCAGGGUACUGGUAAAAAAGCAGACACGUGGACCAAUGGAACAGAAUAGAGAACCCAGAAAUAAAGCCAAUAGCAGUAAUGUGAUCUUCAACAAAGUUGACAAAAAUAAGCAAUGGGGAAAGUACUCACUAUUCAAUACAUGGUGCUGGGAUAGCUGGCUAGCCAUCUGCAAAAGAAUGAAACUAGACCCCCACCUCUCACCAUUUACAAAUUUUUUUUUUUUUUUUUUUUUAGACAGAGUCUUGCUCUGUCAUCCAGACUGGAGUGCAGUGGCAUGAUCUCGGCUCACUGCAAGCUCCGCCUCCCGGGUUCACGCCAUGCUCCUGCCUCAGCCUCCCGAGUAGCUGGGACUACAGGCGCCCGGCCACCACACCCAGCUAAUUUCCUGUAUUUUUAGUAGAGACGGGGUUUCACCAUGUUAGCCAGGAUGGUCUCGAUCUCCUGACCUCGCGAUCCGCCCGUCUCGGCCUCCCAAAGUGCUGGGAUUACAGGCAUGAGCCACCGUGCCCGGUCAAUUUUUUGUAUUUUUAGUAGAGAUGGGGUUUCACCAUGUUAGCCAGGAUGGUCUCGAUCUCCUGACCUCGUGAUCUGCCUGCCUCGGCCUCCCAAAGUGCUGGGAUUACAGGCGUGAGCCGCCACGCCCGGCCACCAGUUACAAAAUUUAACUCAAGAGGAUUAAAGAUUUAAGUGGAAGACCUCGAACUACAGGAAUCCAAAAGAAAACCUAGGAAACACCAUUCUGGACAUUGACCUUGGGAAUUACUUUAUGACUAAAUCCUCAAAAGCGAUUGCAACAAAAACAAAAAUAGACAAAUGGGACCUAAUUAAACUAAAGAGAUUCUGCACAGCAAAAGAAACUUUUAGCAGAGUAAUCAGACAGCCUACACAAUGGGAGAAGAUAUUCACAAAAUAUGCAUCUGACAAAGGUCUAAUAUCCAGAAUCCAUAAGAAACUUAAACAAUUGAAGAAGCAAAAAACAAACUCAUUUAAAAAAUGGGCAAAAAGUAAGAACAGACACUUCUGAAAAGAAGACAUACAAGCAGUCAACAAACAUGAAAAAAUGCUCCACAUCACUAAUCAUCAGAGAAGUGCAAAUCAAUCCAUACUGGGAUGCUAUCUCAUAUUGGGCAGAAUAGCUAUUAUUAAAACGUCAAGAAACAACAGAUACUGGUGAGGCUGUGGAGAAAAGAGAACACUUACAUACUGUUGGUGAAAAUGCAAAUUUCUUUAGCCAUUGUGGAAAGCAAUUUGGAGAUUUCUCAAAGAACUUAAAACAGGACAACCAUUUGACACAGCAACUCCAUCACCAGGUACAUAUCUAAAAGAAAAUAAAUUGUUCCACCAAAAGAAUUCAUGCACUUGCAUGUUCCUUGCAAUACAGUACACGAUAGCAAAGACAUGGAAUCAACCUAGGUGCCCAUCAAUGGUGGGUUGGAUAAAGAAAACAUAUGCAUAUAUGCCAUGGAAUAUGGCACAGCUGUAAAAAAGAAUGAAAUCAUGUUCUUUGUAGCAACAUGCAUACAGCUGGAGCCCAUUAUCCUAAGCAGGAUAUUGGAAUUAACACAGGGAAAGAAAAAUAAAUACUGCACAUUCUCACUUAUAAUUGGGAACUAAACAUUGGGUACUCACGGACAUAAAGAUGGUGAAAAUAGACACUUGAGACUAUUAAAAGGGGAAGAAGGGAGGUGGGGCAAGGGUUGAAAAACUAACUAUUGGAUACUACACUCAGUACCUGGGGGAUGGGAUCAGUUGUACCCCAAACCUCAGCAUCAUGUGAUAUACCUAGGUAACAAACCUGUACAUGUAUCCCCUUGAAUCUAAAAUAAAAGCUGAAAUUUAAAAAUAACACAAAGGCAAAGAUAGGUUAAAAGUAAAUGGAUAGAAAAUUAUAUUCCAUGGAAAUGCAAUAUAAUCAUAAGAAAGCUAGAGUGCUUAUAUUAGUAUUUGACAAAGUAGACUUCUGGAAAAGGAAUAUUAACAGAGAUCUUAAAAAGACAUUUUAUAAUGAAAAAAUGGUCAAUACAUCAGCAAGAUUUAACAAUCAUAAGUGUGACUAUACCUAAUCAUUAUGCAUUGCUUAAUGAUGGAGAUAAGUUCUCAGAAAUGCAUCACUUGGCAAUUUUGUAGUUGUGCAAACAUCACAGAAUGUGCUUACACAAACAUAGAUGAUACAGCCUACUACACACCUAGGUUAUAUGGUAUAGCCCAUUGCUCCUAGGCUGCAAAAUGUAUAACGUGUUACUGCACUGAAUACGCAGGCAACUGUAACACAAUGGCAAGUAUCUGUGCAACUAAACAUAUGUGAACAUUAAAAGGUAUAGUAAAAACAUGGUAUUAUAAACUUACGGGACCACCAUCAUAUAUGCUGUCUGUUGCUAACCAAAACAUUGUUAUGCUGUGCUUGACUGUAGUUUCAAAAUAAAUGAAGUAACAGCUGAUAAAACUAAAAGGAGAAAUAGACAAAUACACAAGUUUAGUUGGAAAGUUAAACACUACUUUCUUAGUAAUUGAUAUAACAAUUAGAGAAAAACUCAGUAGCAAUAUACGUGACAUGAACAAUCCUAUCAUUUAACUUGAUAUAAUAAACAUGUACAGAACACUACAGAAAACAACACAAUUUUUUUUACAAGUGGAAAAUUCACUAAGAUAGAUUAUAUGCCAGGACAUAAAACAAGUCUGUGGAAAUAUGCAAUGUAUGUUCUCAGACAAUGGUAGA